rnacentral:rRNA from 1 species
CCCUUAGAUGUUCUGGGCUGCACGCGCGCUACACUGAUGCGCUCAACGAGUUUUAACCUUGCCUGGAAAGGUUGGGUAAUCUUUUUAAAACGCAUCGUGAUGGGGAUAGAUUAUUGCAAUUAUUAAUCUUCAACGAGGAAUUCCUAGUAAGCGCGAGUCAUCAGCUCGUGCUGAUUACGUCCCUGCCCUUUGUACACACCGCCCGUCGCUCCUACCGAUUGAAUGAUCCGAUGAAUAUCAUGGAUUGAGGAUUAUAGCAGGUUCGCCUGUCUUGAUCUUCGAGAAGUGAAGUAAAUCUUAUCAUUUAGAGGAAGGAGAAGUCGUAACA